GAUCAACGCUGGCGGCGUGCCUAAUACAUGCAAGUCGAGCGAACAGAUGAGGAGCUUGCUCCUCUGACGUUAGCGGCGGACGGGUGAGUAACACGUGGAUAACCUACCUAUAAGACUGGGAUAACUUCGGGAAACCGGAGCUAAUACCGGAUAAUAUAUUGAACCGCAUGGUUCAAUAGUGAAAGACGGUUUUGCUGUCACUUAUAGAUGGAUCCGCGCCGCAUUAGCUAGUUGGUAAGGUAACGGCUUACCAAGGCAACGAUGCGUAGCCGACCUGAGAGGGUGAUCGGCCACACUGGAACUGAGACACGGUCCAGACUCCUACGGGAGGCAGCAGUAGGGAAUCUUCCGCAAUGGGCGAAAGCCUGACGGAGCAACGCCGCGUGAGUGAUGAAGGUCUUCGGAUCGUAAAACUCUGUUAUUAGGGAAGAACAAAUGUGUAAGUAACUAUGCACGUCUUGACGGUACCUAAUCAGAAAGCCACGGCGAACUACGU
rnacentral:rRNA from 1 species